rnacentral:rRNA from 1 species
CGAACGCUGGCGGCGUAGCCUAACACAUGCAAGUCGUACGAGAAAGUCCGCUUCGGUGGAUGAGUAAAGUGGCGCACGGGUGAGUAACGCGUGGACUUAAUCUACCCUUUAGUCUGGAAUAACCCUGCCGAAAGGUGGACUAAUACCGGAUAAAGCUCCACAACUCCUGUUGUGUAGCCAAAGGAGGCCUCUGCUUGCAAGCUUUCGCUGAAGGAUGAGUCCGCGUACCAUUAGCUAGUUGGUAGGGUAAUGGCCUACCAAGGCGACGAUGGUUAGCUGGUCUGAGAGGAUGAUCAGCCACACUGGAACUGAGACACGGUCCAGACUCCUACGGGAGGCAGCAGUGAGGAAUAUUGCGCAAUGGGGGCAACCCUGACGCAGCAACGCCGCGUGAGUGAGGAAGGUUUUCGGACUGUAAAGCUCUGUCGAGCGGGAAGAAGUGCCCGGUGGUUAAUACCCAUCAGGCUUGACGGUACCGCUGGAGGAAGCACCGGCUAACUCCGUG